CUGGAGCCUUCCCGCAUCCGCGGCUCCUCGCCCGCCUUCAGGGACCGGCGUACCGCCGGCCGGGCGUACCUAGGACAUCCAGCUUUGUGGACAAGCCCCAGUUUCCAUUUCUGUCUCCUCCUCGUCAGUCCAGGUGAGGGUGACGAGAAGGAAGGGGGGAAGCAGCCGUAGCCUUAGCGCCCUGCACAAACCGCCGGUGCGCGGACGGGAGGGACGUCGGACUGGAGAUGCGGAGUCCCCACUGGCUGCGCACGGAAACUCACUCUCCCAGCCAAGAGCGGAGCGGGCGGGCGGCGGUCCCCCAUUCCCGGCCACCCUCAGGACCACACAGGUCCUCUCUGCCCCCGCGCUUCGGGGCCCCUCCGCGCUGCGCUCACCUGCCCUGCUUCGUAAUGAUCAUCUCGGUUUGGUGGCGGUGGAAUUUGAGCCACAGAGGCCGGUUGCACAGGAAAACAUUCCAACGUUAACCGGUCACCAGCGCUUCGCCUGGACUCUGGGCAAACGUCAAUGGGAUUUUUGUGG